UUAUAAGAGACAGCAGCAGCCACGGUAAUACGUAGGGUGCGAGCGUUAAUCGGAAUUACUGGGCGUAAAGCGUGCGCAGGCGGUUCGUUAAGACAGAUGUGAAAUCCCCGGGCUUAACCUGGGAACUGCAUUUGUGACUGGCGAGCUAGAGUAUGGCAGAGGGGGGUAGAAUUCCACGUGUAGCAGUGAAAUGCGUAGAGAUGUGGAGGAAUACCGAUGGCGAAGGCAGCCCCCUGGGCCAAUACUGACGCUCAUGCACGAAAGCGUGGGGAGCAAACAGGAUUAGAUACCCCUGUAGUCCCUGUCUCUUAUAC
rnacentral:rRNA from 1 species